rnacentral:rRNA from 1 species
AUUGAACGCUGGCGGCAGGCCUAACACAUGCAAGUCGAGCGAGCGGCGGACGGGUGAGUAAUGUAUGGGGAACUGCCCGAUAGAGGGGGAUAACUACUGGAAACGGUAGCUAAUACCGCAUACUAUCGGAUGAACCCAGAUGGGAUUAGCUAGUAGGUGGGGUAAAGGCUCACCUAGGCGACGAUCCCUAGCUGGUCUGAGAGGAUGACCAGCCACACUGGAACUGAGACACGGCCCAGACUCCUACGGGAGGCAGCAGUGGGGAAUAUUGCACAAUGGGCGCAAGCCUGAUGCAGCCAUGCCGCGUGUAUGAAGAAGGCCUUCGGGUUGUAAAGCACUUUCAGCGGGGAGGCGUUACUCGCAGAAGAAGCACCGGCUAACUCCGUGCCAGCCGCCGCGGUAAUAC